rnacentral:rRNA from 1 species
AUUGAACGCUGGCGGCAGGCCUAACACAUGCAAGUCGAACGAGUGGCGGACGGGUGAGUAAUGUCUAGGGAACUGCCAGAUGGAGGGGGAACAAGACUGGAAACGGUAGCUAAUACCGCAUAUAAUAGGAUAUGCCAAGAUGGGAUAAGCUAGUAGGUGGGGUAACGGCUCACCUAGGCGACGAUCCCUAUCUGGUCUGCGAGGAUGACCAGCCACACUGGAACUGAGACACGGUCCAGACUCCUACGGGAGGCAGCAGUGGGGAAUAUUGCACAAUGGGCGCAAGCCUGAGGCAGCCAUGCCGCGGGUAUGAAGAAGGCCUUCGGGUUGUAAAGUACUUUCAGCGAGGAGGCGUUACUCGCAGAAGAAGCACCGGCUAACUCCGUGCCAGCAGCCGCGGUAAUAC